rnacentral:tRNA from 1 species
GCCUGGCUAGCCCAGUCGGUAGAGCAUGAGACUCUUACUCUCAGGCUCGUGUGUUCGAGCCCCACGUUGGGCA